rnacentral:rRNA from 1 species
UACGUAGGGGGGCAAGCGUUUGUCCGGAAUCAUUGGGCGUAAAGCGCGCGUAGGCGGCCCGGUAAGUCCGCUGUAAAAGUCCGGGGCUCAACCCUGGAAAGCCGGUGGAUACUGUCGGGCUAGAGUCCGGAAGAGGCGAGUGGAAUUCCUGGUGUAGCGGUGGAAUGCGCAGAUAUCAGGAGGAACACCGAUUGCGAAGGCAGCUCGCUGGGACGUAACUGACGCUGAGACGCGAAAAGCGUGGGGAGCAAACAGG